AUUGAACGCUAGCGGGAUGCUUUACACAUGCAAGUCGAACGGAGUGGCGGACGGGUGAGUAAUAUAUCGGAACGUGCCCAGUGGCGGGGGAUAACUACUCGAAAGAGUGGCUAAUACCGCAUACUAUUAGAGCGGCCGAGAUCGGAUUAGCUAGUUGGUGGGGUAAAGGCUCACAAAGGCAACGAUCCGUAGCUGGUUUGAGAGGACGACCAGCCACACUGGGACUGAGACACGGCCCAGACUCCUACGGGAGGCAGCAGUGGGGAAUUUUGGACAAUGGGGGAAAGCCUGAUCCAGCCAUGCCGCGUGUAUGAAGAAGGCCUUCGGGUUGUAAAGUACUUUUGGCAGGGAAGCGGUAUCCGCAGAAGAAGCACCGGCUAACUCCGUGCCAGCCGCCGCGGUAAUUC
rnacentral:rRNA from 1 species